rnacentral:lncRNA from 1 species
CUAAAACUGUAAGAGAGUUCCUGACUGUGACCCUUAACAGUCAUUCUCUUACCUUAUAACAAACCUAGAAAUGAGAAAAUGCUUGAGCAGAUUGGCCUGGUGGUGUGGGAGGAUGAAUGGAUUCUUGGGGAUAUUGGGGGUUAGCUUGAGCAGCACACCGAUGAUCCAGUAGCUUCAGUGAUCUCAGCCAGGAAGCUUAAAAUAGACCAGCAAGUGGAUCUGAGAUGUUUUUAGCAAGCUGGUUGCUGACUUACUGUGGCCUUUGCCAAAAUCAGCAAUCAGAGAAGGAAGAGAGGCUGGUUUACCACAUUUCUCCUUAGCUCCUGUUUCCCCACAGGUCUCCAUUAGGAUAUCAGCAAGUAAUUACUCAGUAAGUAAACCAUCUAUGUUGAGUUGCUUCUUUAAAAUUGGCUUACUUGGAACUAUGCUGUGAGAUUGGCAAAUCAUCUACCUAGACGCAGCGGAACAUGUGUUACGGCUCAUCUCCUUCAGACCAGAGGCUGUUCCAGUGGCCAUAAAUCCAUUCUGGAACAAGGGGAGGAUAUAGUGUAUUAAGUCACUGAGAACAAGUGUUCUGCCAUGUACCGUCUACAGAUUAUUAAUUGUGGUGGAGGAAAAUAUACUUUUACAAUGGGAAGAUCUGGCAGAUGUCUUCUAACCAAUGAAUGUGACAUGAUCAAGGUGAUAUCAACUGACAUGAUCUUCCUGAUGAGAGGCAAUGGGAAAUACACAGAUGGAUAGGCUUCUCACCAAAGAAUGUCUCACCCUGAAUCUAAUCAAGAGAAAAUAAGCAAACAAAUUCAGAUUAUAGGGUAUUAUGUUAGGCAGGGCAAUGAGCCAUUCAAAACUAUUAAUAUGAAAUUCAAAAAGUAAAUACAUAAAUACAUAAAAGCAAGGUGAGGGGAAUU